AUCCUCACAUGGUUCUUCCACUGUAGCUUAGUUCACAAGGACUAUAAGCUCUGUAGUGAUUCUACCACUGUAGGUUUGUAGACAGGGACUAGACUCUGUAGUGAUUCUACCACUGUAGGUUUGUAGACAGGGACUAGACUCUGUAGUGAUUCUACCACUGUAGGUUUGUAGACAGGGACUAGACUAUAGUGAUUCUACCACUGUAGGUUUGUAGACAGGCACUAGACUCUGUAGUGAUUCUACCACUGUAGGUUUGUAGACAGGGACUAGACUCUGUAGUGAUUCUACCACUGUUGGUUUGUAGACAGGGACUAGACUCUGUAGUGAUUCUACCACUGUAGGUUUGUAGACAGGGACUAGACUCUGUAGUGAUUCUACCACUGUAGGUUUGUAGACAGGGACUGGACUGUAGUGAUUCUACCACUGUAGGUUUGUAGGUUUGUAGACAGGGACUGGACUGUAGUGAUUCUACCACUGUAGGUUUGUAGACAGGGACUAGACUCUGUAGUGAUUCUACCACUGUAGGUUUGUAGACAGGGACUAGACUGUAGUGAUUCUACCACUGUAGGUUUGUAGACAGGGACUAGACUAUAGUGAUUCUACCACUGUAGGUUUGUAGACAGGCACUAGACUCUGUAGUGAUUCUACCACUGUAGGUUUGUAGACAGGGACUAGACUCUGUAGUGAUUCUACCACUGUAGGUUUGUAGACAGGGACUAGACUGUAGUGAUUCUACCACUGUAGGUUUGUAGACAGGGACUAGACUCUGUAGUGAUUCUACCACUGUAGGUUUGUAGACAGGGACUAGACUAUAGUGAUUCUACCACUGUAGGUUUGUAGACAGGCACUAGACUCUGUAGUGAUUCUACCACUGUAGGUUUGUAGACAGGGACUAGACUCUGUAGUGAUUCUACCACUGUAGGUUUGUAGACAGGGACUAGACUCUGUAGUGAUUCUACCACUGUAGGUUUGUUUACAGGCACUAGACUCUGUAGUGCGUUGUGAUCAGCUAUC